CCAGCUGUGCGUGAUGGCUGUGCAUUCUUGUGCAGGGUCUGCUGUGGGACAGAUUUGUAAGUGGAAAGAUACCCAUAAACCUGGAAACGUGGGGAAAGAGAAAGCGCUUUUAAAAGAAGGCACAUGGUGCAUCAUUUAUGCAUCAUAAAGAAGGCAAUGGCCUGGCUUUCACAAACAGAACAGCCUCUGGAAAAAGAUCUUCACACAGGCUGAGUUGUCUGGAAUGUUCUUUCUCCCCCUCAGUGCCUAGUUAACCCCUAUUCAUCCUUCAAACCUCAGUUUAAGUGGUACAAGAACAUUAAAAGAGUCCCAAAGCCAAAGAUGAACUUCAUAUCCAGCAGAGGGAAGGGGACCACUGAAUCCGCGAAAACAAGGACAACUUUGCAACAAUUGUUCCCUGUAUGCGAUCUCCAUGAGAUCUGCCCCUUGAACUCUUGAACUUUUACUA